GUGGUCGUAGUGCAGUGGUCAGCACGUUUCGUUGUGGUAAGCCAUGAAUAUCGCUCCGAAGAGACGCAAGUUCGAAUCUUGCCGACCACA